rnacentral:misc_RNA from 1 species
AAAAAAAACUGAUUCCGAUUUCAGAUCAUUUGGUAGGAUAAAUCGAAACAAGAAAACAAGCCACUGUCCAUUCUCCUCAACACUGGACUGCACUUUGCAUUUGGAAUCUCAGUUCUUCAAUGGCGAAGAACUAUGUCAGAGAGAAUGUGCCACUCUCGCGAUUCGGCGUGCUGGUGGCGCAGCUUGAGUCCAUUGUCGCUUCCUCCUCUCAACAAUCCCCGGAUCCUCUCCUCUGUUUUGAUCUCCUCUCCGAUCUCAUCUCCGCCAUAGACGAAGAACCCAAGGAGUCUAUUUUGUUGUGGCAAAGAAAAUGCGAGGAUGCAUUAUAUUCAUUGCUUGUUCUUGGGGCGCGACGGCCGGUGCGCCAUUUGGCGUCAGUAGCCAUGGCGAGAAUUAUGUCUAAAGGGGAUAAUAUUUCUAUAUACUCGAGAGCUAGCAGUCUCCAAGGGUUUCUUUCUGAUGGGAAGAAGAGCGAACCCCAGAAAGUUGCUGGUGCUGCACAAUGCUUGGGAGAAUUAUAUCAGCACUUUGGAAGAAGAAUUACAUCGGGAUUGCUUGAAACAACUAUUAUUGCAACCAAACUUAUGAAGUUUCAUGAGGAGUUUGUGAGACAAGAAGCUUUACUGAUGCUCCAAAAAGCUUUGGAAGGUUGUGGUGGUAGUGCUGCUUCAUCAGCAUAUAUUGAAGCCUUUCGUCUCAUCACACGUUUUGCUGUUGGGGAUAAAUCAUUUGUUGUGAGAAUAGCUGCUGCUCGUUGUCUGAAGGCAUUUGCCAGCAUUGGAGGACCUGGUUUGGGACUUGGAGAACUUGAGAAUUCAGCAUCUUAUUGUGUCAAGGCCCUUGAGGAUCCUGUAUCAUCUGUCCGAGAUGCAUUUGCUGAAGCUUUAGGUUUGUUGCUAGCUCUUGGAAUGAAUCCUGAGGCUCAGGUUCAACCCAGGGGAAAGGGUCCUUUUUCUCCUGCAAAGAAACUAGAAGGUUGUUUGCAGAGGCAUUUAGCUUUGCCCUUCACAAAAGUGAGUGGAAUUCGGUCGAAGGACAUUAGAAUGGGCAUAACCUUAUCUUGGGUAUCCUUUUUACAGGCUAUUCGUCAUAAGCAUCUACAUCCAGAUAGUGAGCUUCAAAACUAUGCUGUGCAGAUUAUGGAAAUGCUUCAUGUAGAUGCUUCUGUUGAUGCCCAUGCACUGGCAUGCAUUCUUUAUAUAUUGCGCGUUGGUGUAACUGAUCAGAUGACUGAACCUACUCAAAGGGGCUUUCUGGUGUUCCUUGGAAAGCAGCUUGAGUCUGCAGAUGGCAGUCCUUCCAUGAAAAUUGCUGCUUUACGAACUUUGUCAUACACAUUGAAAACGUUGGGUGAGGUUCCAUCAGAAUUCAAGGAAGUAAUUGACGACACAGUUGUUGCUGCUGUUUCUCAUUCUUCACAACUUGUACGCAUUGAGGCUGCUUUAACAUUGCGCGUAUUGGCUGAGGUUGAUCCUACAUGUGUUGGUGGUUUGAUUUCCUACGGAGUAACCACACUAAGUGCUUUGAGAGAAAAUGUUUCUUUUGAAAAGGGGAGCAAUUUGAAAGUUGAGCUUGAUUCUUUGCAUGGACAAGCUACAGUUGUGGCAGCUUUGGUGUCCGUUUCACCCAAAUUACCUCUUGGUUAUCCAGCUAGAUUGCCUAGAUCAGUGCUUGAAGUUUCAAAGAAAAUGUUAACAGAACCUAGUCGCAACCCUAUGGCUGGAACAGUUGAAAAAGAAGCUGGAUGGCUACUUCUAUCGUCUUUAUUAUCUUCUAUGCCAAAGGAGGAGCUUGAAGACCAGGUCUUUGAUAUUCUUUCAUUGUGGGCUCCACUCUUUGGUGGAAAUCCAGAACAAGAUAUUAAGCAAAUUGGGGAUUUGACAUCAAGAAUUAGUGUGUGGUCUUCUGCUGUUCAUGCACUUACAGCAUUUAUAAAAUGCUUUAUUUCUCCUAGUGCUGUGAACAAUGGAGUCCUACUUCAACCAGUAAUGGUAUAUCUGAAUAGUGCCCUGUCCUAUAUACGACUGCUGCAAAGCAAAGAACUAGCAAACAUUAAGCCAGCAUUUGACAUAUUCAUGAUCAGAACAUUAAUUGCUUAUCAAUCAAUUCCUGAUCCAAUGGCAUACAAAAGCGACCAUCCCCGGAUUAUCCAAUUAUGUACAGUUCCAUAUAGGGAUGCUUCUAGAUGUGAGGAAAGCUCAUGCUUGAGGUUGCUGCUUGACAAAAGAGACGCAUGGUUGGGUCCUUGGAUUCCUGGAAGAGAUUGGUUUGAAGAUGAACUUCGUGCUUUUCAAGGCGGGAAAGAUGGCCUUAUGCCUUGUGUGUGGGAGAAUGAACCCUCAAGUUUUCCUCAGCCUGAAACAAUAAAAAAGACAUUGGUGAACCAGAUGCUCCUCUGCUUUGGAAUCAUGUUUGCUUCUCAGGAUAGUGGUGGGAUGCUGCAACUUCUUGGAAUGGUUGAGCAGUGUAUAAAAGCUGGAAAAAAGCAAACAUGGCAUGCAGCCAGUGUUACAAAUAUAUGCGUGGGAUUGCUUGCGGGGUUAAAGGCUUUGAUAGCUUUACGUCCUCAACCUUUAGGAUCUGAGAUAUUAAAUCCAGCACAAGCUAUAUUUCAGAGCAUUUUGGCAGAGGGAGAUGUUUGUGCUUCCCAAUGUAGAGCAUCAUCGGAAGGUCUUGGUCUUCUAGCUCGCCUCGGAAAUGAUGCUUUUACAGCCAGAAUGACAAGAUUGCUUCUUGGUGACCUUACUGGGGCGACAGAUUCGAACUACGCUGGAUCAAUAUCUUUUGCACUUGGAUGCAUUCAUCGCAGUGCAGGAGGAAUGGCAUUGUCAAGUUUAGUGCCCGCAACUGUGAGCUCAAUAUCAUCACUGGCUAAAAGUACCACCACUGGUUUACAGAUCUGGUCCCUGCAUGGACUUCUUUUGACUAUUGAAGCUGCUGGUUUCUCGUAUGUAUCUCAUGUUCAGGCAACACUUGGCCUGGCUAUGGACAUUCUUUUUUCUGAGGAGAAUGGAUUGGUUGACCUUCAGCAAGGAGUUGGCCGUCUUAUAAAUGCUAUUGUUGCUGUACUUGGUCCUGAACUUGCCCCUGGCAGCAUUUUCUUUUCACGCUGCAAGUCUGUCAUUGCAGAGAUAAGCUCCUGGCAAGAAACUGCAACAUUGCUCGAGAGUGUCCGUUUUACUCAACAACUUGUUCUUUUUGCCCCACAAGCCGUUUCUGUGCAUUCUCAUGUGCAAACUCUCCUCUGGACUCUGUCCUCAAGACAGCCAACUUUACGGCACCUUGCUGUCUCCACCCUACGACAUCUAAUUGAAAAGGACCCGGUGCUUGUGCUGAUGCUAUUUGUAACAGGUCUCCGUUAUUGAUGAGCAAAUAGAAGAUAACUUGUUUCGCAUGCUAGAUGAGGAAACUGAUUCUGAGAUUGGUAAUCUGGUACGUGCCACAAUUAUGCGUUUGCUGUUUGCAUCGUGCCCUUCUCGUCCAUCUCACUGGAUAUUGAUAUGUCGUAAAAUGGUUCUCUCUACAUCAGCAAGACAACUUACUGAAGACAAUAGUGACACAGGAAAUUAUAAUCUUAAUGGUCCAGACAGUGACUCACAAUUAAACUUUGGAGAAGAUGAUGAAAAUAUGGUCUCUGGAUCUAAGGGCACACCAGUGCAAGGUUAUGCAUAUGAAGCUUCCAACGUUAACCCUAGUAGAGAUAAGCACCUCAGAUACCGAACAAGAGUUUUUGCUGCUGAGUGCUUGAGUCAUCUGCCUACAGCUGUGGGAAACAAUCCAACUCAUUUUGACCUCUCUUUGGCAAGAAAAAGACCAACUGAAGUUAUAUCUGGAGAUUGGUUGGUCCUCCAUGUGCAAGAGCUGAUUUCAUUGGCUUAUCAGAUAAGCACAAUUCAGUUCGAAAACAUGCGACCAAUUGGUGUGGGACUUCUUACUACCAUUGUGGAUACGUUUGAAACAAUACCUGACCCAGA